CAGCAGCCACGGUAAUACGAAGGGGGCUAGCGUUGCUCGGAAUGACUGGGCGUAAAGGGCGCGUAGGCGGAUGGCACAGUCAGAUGUGAAAUUCCCGGGCUUAACCUGGGGGCUGCAUUUGAUACGUGUUGUCUAGAGUGAGGAAGAGGGUCGUGGAAUUCCCAGUGUAGAGGUGAAAUUCGUAGAUAUUGGGAAGAACACCGGUGGCGAAGGCGGCGACCUGGUCUUUUACUGACGCUGAGGCGCGAAAGCGUGGGGAGCAAACAGGAUUAGAUACCCCUGUAGUCCCUGUCUCUUAUAC
rnacentral:rRNA from 1 species